CUAGCCCAGUAAAGACAUCACGAUAUCUCACCGUCACGGAGGUAAAGGUGGGUAGAAAACACAAAACAACCAAUAGAGCAUAAUUUACAACAAAUCCUUUUAUCGAUAAAUAAAACCUUUACCAUUUACUUACCUCGGUGAAAUUCAUAAAACAAUAUACGAAAGCAAUAACAUCAUCAUCAUCAUGGAAACAUAUAUAUGAACUGUAUAACAUAAUACCUAUCAC
rnacentral:lncRNA from 1 species